UGAUACGCAGCUAUUAGUGACACUAUAGAUACUCAAGCUAUGCAUCCAACGCGUUGGGAGCUCUCCCAUAUGGUCGACAUGCAGGCGGCCGCGAAUUCACUAGUGAUUGUUUGAUCAUGGCUCAGAACGAACGCUGGCGGCGUGCCUAACACAUGCAAGUCGAACGCGAAAGUCCUUCGGGAUGAGUAAAGUGGCGCACGGGUGAGUAACACGUAGGUGACCUGCCUUUUAGAGGGGAAUAACCAGAUGAAAAUUUGGCUAAUGCCGCAUACGAAGUACAAAUCUAAAAGUAGUACUUGAAAGGAUGCCUCUGUAUAUGCAUCCACUAAAAGAUGGGCCUGCGGAACAUUAGCUAGUUGGUGGGGUAAAGGCCUACCAAGGCAACGAUGUUUAUCCGGUCUGAGAGGAUGAUCGGACACACUGGAACUGAGACACGGUCCAGACUCCUACGGGAGGCAGCAGUGGGGAAUAUUGCGCAAUGGGGGAAACCCUGACGCAGCAACGCCGCGUGAGUGAGGAAGGACUUCGGUCUGUAAAGCUCUGUUAAUGUGGAAAAAUGGUAGCUGGUCUAAUAGGCCG
rnacentral:rRNA from 1 species